GCGGACUACAUAAAACUUAACAGAACAGAUUAUACUAAAGUAACUUAGGAUUUAGUUCAAAUGUGCAUGAUGCAUUGACAUUGAACGCGAUGAUUAUAAAGAAGAUCCGUGAGGCAAUGAAAACGACGUUGUAGAUGAAGAAGCAUCUUGCAUCGAAGACGUAGAAUCUGACGAUGAAUAUUCACGAAUCGUAGCCGUUUCCGUUCCAACAUCGUCGAUGUUUAUUGCAUCCGUCACCAUUUUGGAAUUUUGCAAUGAUGCAGAGUUUGACAGAAGAGAGGACAACAGAUUCACUAAACGAUUGAUGAAUGCAUAUAAGAAUACAUCUUCACACCUUAUGGAGUCAGUUCAACCGAAUUGUAAUUUCAUUUUUCUAACAUUAUAAAUAAGUAUACAGUAUUUACAACUGAUAGAAGAAGACUGUAUUGAAAUUUAAAAGUAUACUUAUUGCUCAUAAAAUAGCCUCAUCAGAAUGAUCCUCAAACGAUCGUUAGCGUAGAUCCACUGCCAGAUUAUAAAUGGCAAAAGAAUGAUCAGAAGCAGCGUGUCCAGCACGUGUAACACAAUCAGCGAUAUGGAUUGCACCACUAUCGAUGUUCUGCGUGAUUCCUGUCUGGAAUAUCAAGCUUUCCCUUAUAUGCUCUUUGAUACUGCUACUGCCCCUGUGGUUCUUAAUGGUUAGUGGUUGGAUCUUGCCGUAAUGCAUGAUGAUGAAGUAAAUGAAACGAAGGUAUGUUUAUUGGACAACGGUGUUUCUAUCGAUGGAAAACGAUUAACACCGUGGGAUUGUGAUUAAUCCGUUUCAUUCUAUAAGAAUUUGUCAAAUUCAGUACAUUGGACAGUAAUGAACGCGAUCGAGCGAAUAAAAAGAUGGAGGAUCAUUAGCUUUUCAUCUGUUUUAUUUUGUAUGGAUGUACAAGGUGGACAGAAAAUGUAGAUAAUCGUUUAUAAGAGGAUGUAUAAAGCACAGUUUUAAUAGUGAGCUGUAAGAUUCAAAGCUCCAGCAGUAAAAGAAUCAACAUUUCAAUGUUAAGAGCUUCAAAACCAAUACUUCAAUGUUAAAAGCCUUAAAAACCAACAUUUCAAUACUGAAAGCUUCAAGAAUCAAUACUUCAAUAUCAAAAAUUUCAAGAACCAGCUCUGCAAUAUAAAAAGCUUCCAAAACCAAUGCUUCAAUAUUAAAAAUUUUAGACAAUAAAAGUUUGGAAAAGCAAACUCUCAAUAUAAAAAAUUUCAAGUUCUACAAAUUAAAACUUGAAAACUGAAAUCUUCAAGAACUUCAAUCUCUCAUGCAAACUGUAAAUUAUCCUGUUAGUGUACACAUCUCUUCUUACCAGGAGUACAGCCCACAUGGUUGCAGAAUGGUUUUCAGAGAUCAGCUUCAAGAACAGUUUCCGUCCCCGGCAAGACUUAGAUCACGUUUGAAGGAAGAGAUUGACCAAGCAUCGGUUAUAUACGCACCACGUUUACGAUCUUCGAGGAUGGCGAUUAUAAACCGCUACCGCACACAUGAUAUGCAGAUUUCCCGUUGAGGGAGAGAGAGGGAAUAGUCUUGUUCCCCGUAAGAAUCUUCUUUACGAAACUUCGUCUCUGGAAAUGAGUCACCUUCACAAGUAUGCUUUGAAAAAGGAGGAAGAGAAAGAUGUUGCUCUUCUUCUUCCUUGAAUAUGUAUUUCCGACGGAAGCUUGAACACCUUGGAUCAGCUCGCGUGAUUUUUCUCUGUCGGUCGCGUGAUAGCGGUAUCGUUUGUGCCUUCCGCAACUUUAUUCUCAUCUUUAAUUAAUUAUCAGAAAUAACAUGUGUAAGCUUUCGGUCCAUUCACGUUGUUAUUAUACUGCAGUAUUAUUGUCAUUUACAAUUUUUCUUUUGCAAGUAACAGAUAUUGUUAAGUUUGUGAUAGUCAAUGAAUAGAGCAUUUUAAAAAUUUAACAUUAUAUAGAAUUUUGGUUAUCAUUUCUGAGGUUAACAGAUCAAGGUGAAGAAUUUCACAGCCGUUUUUCUCAGACCAGUCACGAUGUUCCACAGGUGUUAAAUGUCCACUCAUCAAUUAUUAUUGGAACAUUUGUACACACCCCUGACAUUAACGACUUUAUGUUAAUUGAGGUCGGUGAUUAUGAUCGUUGAAAUACAUUCGUAGAAAACUGGUUUUCUAGGACCAAUUCGUCGAAUAUGGAUUACUGCUUAAUCUGAGACUUUGGUGUAUACAGAUUUUCAGGAAAUAAGAAUGGUAAAAAAACUUCAGUUUAAAAGAUGGAUAAUAUUUCUAUUUCAAACUGUAAUUCACGUUUGCAGGUAUUGUAACCAGAUAAAUAAUUUCUUGAGUUCUCAGAUUUACAAAUUUCUAUAUUCACAAACCCUUAAAAAUUAUUUGAUUAGGCUUAGGUGUGUUAAUAUUAAUAGAACUGAGGUAGCCUAGCUUCAAUAAGAAAUUACGCCACUUGUUGCAAUAGUGUUUAAUUCAUUGUACAUGCUGCUAAAAAAAUAUUUGUUUUGAGUGAACAACAUAUCAGCAUCCAUGUUAUAAAUUAUCUCUGUUUUUAAGCUAUUUAAUUCCCUCAGUUUUCCACAGAAAACAGUUUGUAAACACAGCUGAACUACAAAUUACAAUUUUUAUUAAACUUUCUUAAGAAUCACUAUCAAUAUUAUGUAAUGAUGACCUUGUCAUGAUAUUCACAAUUAAAUAUACAUCUUUAAAUUGCAUAAGCUUCCAGCAGCUAUUCUCAUAACUAGGAUAAUGGAGAUAUUAGAAACUUUAUUUUCAAAACAUAUUUAGUAAAUUCUAGAAUUACAAACAUUUACAAUAGAAGUACACGGAUAGUAUAACUCUCUUAUAAAAAGUGUAUAGGAAGAAAUGGUCCACCAUUUUCCUUGCUUGCAUUCUUCGUGAAGACAGGAAGAGAUUCCCUGAAUUCCUCUAACUUCACAGAUCAAUGGCAGAAGGUUCUUCCUUUUACACUUACUCUUAAUCAAAAGUUUAAAUUGUAUCCAAAUGCUAAAAUGUCUGAGUCUGUUCCAGAAAGAGAUGUUCUUUGUCUUAAGUCCAUCGUGGCGUAUCCUCCUCGCACUACUCCUCUUCGUUUCUAAUAAUCGUCGUAUCGAGAUAUUCUUCUUCCUGUUGAUUUGGCCACGAGGACAACGGCACUGAAACUGUUUCCUGGCUUGGGGAUGAACCAAUCAUCAUCUGGAAGUAAUGGAUUGCAAUACAGAAGUGGGAAGUAUUGGAAAUUUGAAAGGAAAGUACAUGAAGAGUUAGUGAAGUAUGCAUAUUCACUGGAAAACAGAAUGGACUUCUUCA